UUCUGUUAACAUUCUACCAAGUGACACAAGAGCUGUUGCAUUUGCUCGCUUUUCUGUGGUUUCUUCGUCCCAGAUCGAGCAAGGUUCUCCACCCUGUAUAUUUAAUGACAUAUAGCAGCUUUUAAAAUAAAGGCCAGCCAAUAGAGAAACAUACCCCCGGAGAUGCUGCCUUCAAAUCAAGGAAUUCAACGUCGAUAAUGAAUUUCCCUGUUGUUAAAGGAACAUCAAUUGCCCAGACAAAAUCAUCGUUGUUCUUGAGCUGCU